rnacentral:rRNA from 1 species
UACGAAGGGUGCAAACGUUGCUCGGAAUUAUUGGGCGUAAAGCGCACGUAGGCGGCUAUCUAAGUCGGAUGUGAAAUCCCUCGGCUUAACCAAGGAAGUGCACCCGAAGCUGGAUAGCUUGAGUACAGAAGAGGAUCGCGGAAUUCCCGGUGUAGAGGUGAAAUUCGUAGAUAUCGGGAGGAACACCAGUGGCGAAGGCGGCGAUCUGGAACGCAACUGACGCUGAGACGCGAAAGCGUGGGGAGCAAACAGG